UGGGGAAUUUUGCGCAAUGGGGGAAACCCUGACGCAGCAACGCCGCGUGAGUGAUGAAGGCCUUCGGGUCGUAAAGCUCUGUCAGAGGGGAAAGAAGUGUAUUGUGGUUAAUACCCAUGAUGCUUGACGGUACCCCUAAAGGAAGCACCGGCUAACUCCGUGCCAGCAGCCGCGGUAAUACGGAGGAUCCGAGCGUUAUCCGGAUUUACUGGGUUUAAAGGGUGCGUAGGCGGGCCCCUCAGUCAGCGGUGAAAGUCUGCGGCUCAACCGUAGGAUUGCCGUUGAUACUGGGGGCCUUGGAUUCGGUCGAGGCGGGCGGAAUGCGUGGUGUAGCGGUGAAAUGCUUAGAUAUCACGCAGAACGCCGAUUGCGAAGGCAGCUCGCCGGGCCGAAAUCGACGCUGAGGCACGAAAGCGUGGGGAUCGAACA
rnacentral:rRNA from 1 species